rnacentral:rRNA from 1 species
UACGGAGGAUCCAAGCGUUAUCCGGAAUCAUUGGGUUUAAAGGGUCCGUAGGCGGUUUUGGUAAGUCAGUGGUGAAAGCCCAUCGCUCAACGGUGGAACGGCCAUUGAUACUGCCAGACUUGAAUUAUUAGGAAGUAACUAGAAUAUGUAGUGUAGCGGUGAAAUGCUUAGAGAUUACAUGGAAUACCAAUUGCGAAGGCAGGUUACUACUAAUGGAUUGACGCUGAUGGACGAAAGCGUGGGUAGCGAACAGG